UACGUAGGGCGCAAGCGUUGUCCGGAAUUACUGGGCGUAAAGAGCUCGUAGGUGGUUUGUCGCGUUGUUCGUGAAAACUCACAGCUCAACUGUGGGCGUGCGGGCGAUACGGGCAGACUGGAGUACUGCAGGGGAGACUGGAAUUCCUGGUGUAGCGGUGGAAUGCGUAGAUAUCUGGAGGAACACCGGUGGCGAAGGCGGCAUCCUGGACCAAUUCUGACGCUGAUGAGCGAAAGCCAGGGGAGCAAACGGG
rnacentral:rRNA from 1 species